AGAGUUUGAUCAUGGCUCAGACUGAACGCUGGCGGAAUGCUUUACACAUGCAAGUCGAACGGCAGCACGGGAGCUUGCUCCUGGUGGCGAGUGGCGAACGGGUGAGUAAUGUAUCGGAACGUACCCAGUCGUGGGGGAUAACUCUCCGAAAGGAGAGCUAAUACCGCAUACGUCCUGAGGGGGAAAGCGGGGGACCUGCAAAGGCCUCGCGCGAUUGGAGCGGCCGAUAUCGGAUUAGCUAGUUGGCGGGGUAAAGGCCCACCAAGGCGACGAUCCGUAGCGGGUCUGAGAGGACGACCCGCCACACUGGAACUGAGACACGGUCCAGACUCCUACGGGAGGCAGCAGUGGGGAAUUUUGGACAAUGGGGGCAACCCUGAUCCAGCCAUUCCGCGUGAGUGAAGAAGGCCUUCGGGUUGUAAAGCCCUUUCAGCAGGAGCGAAACGGUCGUUUUUAAUACAGACGGCUAAUGACGGUACCUGCAGAAGAAGCACCGGCUAACUACGUGCCAGCAGCCGCGGUAAUACGUAGGGUGCGAGCGUUAAUCGGAAUUACUGGGCGUAAAGCGUGCGCAGGCGGCGACAUAAGACAGAUGUGAAAUCCCCGGGCUCAACCUGGGAACUGCGUUUGUGACUGUGUUGCUAGAGUGUAGCAGAGGGGGGUGGAAUUCCACGUGUAGCAGUGAAAUGCGUAGAUAUGUGGAGGAACACCGAUGGCGAAGGCAGCCCCCUGGGUUAACACUGACGCUCAUGCACGAAAGCGUGGGGAGCAAACAGGAUUAGAUACCCUGGUAGUCCACGCCCUAAACGAUGCCAACUAGGUGUUGGGGGAAGGAGACUUCCUUAGUACCGUAGCUAACGCGUGAAGUUGGCCGCCUGGGGAGUA
rnacentral:rRNA from 1 species